AUUGAACGCUGGCGGCAGGCCUAACACAUGCAAGUCGAGCGAGCGGCGGACGGGUGAGUAAUGUAUGGGGACUGCCCGAUAGAGGGGGAGAACUACUGGAAACGGUAGCUAAUACCGCAUACUAUCGGAUAACCAAUAUGGGAUUAGCUAGUAGGUGAGGUAAUGGCUAACCUAGGCGACGAUCCCUAGCUGGUCUGAGAGGAUGAUCAACCCCACUGGGACGUGGACACGGCCCAGACUCCGACCGACACAACGUUGUUAAAUAUUGCACAAUGGGCGCAAGCCUGAUUCAGCCAUGCCGCGUGUAUGAAGAAGACCCUAGGGUUUUAAAGUACUUUCAGUCGGGAGGCGUUACCGACAGAAGAAGCACCGGCUAACUACGUGCCAGCAGCCGCGGUAAUAC
rnacentral:rRNA from 1 species